rnacentral:rRNA from 1 species
AUUAAACGCUGGCGGCAUGCCUUACACAUGCAAGUCGAACGGCAGCACGGGGGCAACCCUGGUGGCGAGUGGCGGACGGGUGAGUAACACAUCGGAACGUGCCCUGGAGUGGGGGAUAACGCAGCGAAAGCUACGCUAAUACCGCAUAUUCUGUGAGCAGGAAAGCAGGGGAUCGCAAGACCUUGCGCUUUGGGAGCGGCCGAUGUCGGAUUAGCUAGUUGGUGGGGUAAAGGCUUACCAAGGCGACGAUCCGUAGCGGGUCUGAGAGGAUGAUCCGCCACACUGGGACUGAGACACGGCCCAGACUCCUACGGGAGGCAGCAGUGGGGAAUUUUGGACAAUGGGCGGAAGCCUGAUCCAGCCAUGCCGCGUGAGUGAAGAAGGCCUCGG